rnacentral:lncRNA from 1 species
GUGCUCUCAUUGAUAAAUUAAUAAAAGAGUCGAACAAGUUUGUUCAUAUUGCGUAUUUGUUUAUUCGAUCAAGGGCCUGAUUUCCAACAAUUGGUAUCAGAGCUUGGCAGUUUUGAGAGUCGUUUUUAAGAAAGGGGGAGCCGCCCCUCGCGGGGUUGCAACGACGGUUUUGAGGAAUUUUUGGUGUCGUCAAAAUAAGAGGUUGAAGACGAUAUAGAAAGGAACAUGGCAAAAGGCCGGUGUCGUCUGGUAAAAUAAAAUUGAUAUAGUUUACUGAGGAGAUGAUAUCAAAAUUAAUAUAUCAUUGGUCUGAUGUUGGCAAACAAUUUGAAUGGGUUUAUUUAAAACAAUUUCAUGGGAAUAAAUAAAUUGAUGAUGGGAAAGUAAUACAGCAAAGGGAGACGGUACUUUGGUCUGUGUUGUUUACAAUUAAAGCAGGAGAAAGAAGGGCUCUUCGGGACUGUUAUGCAGCAGAAGACGAAGUCCAGAAGGGUGUUCGUGUCAGACGUUGUCACGGGUGAUGUACCGGUUAGGAUGACGGGGUGACGGGUGAACAUCGGGAUUUUUCGUGGUUGUUAGUCGUGAUCGAACGGGCUAUAAAAAGGGUUGUGAUGUUAUUUUUAUCACAAAUUUUGCAAGUACCUUGAUUGGCUUGUUUCAUGAUAAGAGGAGACCGGCGUGUUGCGUGAUAAACGGACGUAAAAAAUCCGUCAAAGCAGGUGGCUUUGGAUAUGGUUCGUUUGGCAAGGUGAGAAAAUGUUAAUAAGCGGGUAGCUUGUUUUCUUUGUCGGUGGAGAGGCCUCUUGGAACGGGUGUAAUCGGAAAAGGUGCGGGUUGUUGAGACAAGAAGAGAGUGGAGAAACUACACCGUUGUAAACAUUAUGGCGUUGGAGUUCAAUCGGGUGGCUUUGGAUGUGACCUGGGAGAGGUCGUCGAUCCGUGAUGAGUCAAAAUCGUGGUGUUUUUUUAUUCGUGUUGAACCGAGACAUUGGACGUGAUUGAGGUGAAGAUCGGGUGUCCGUUAGUGUCAUAGUGUGGUUCGAAACCGAGGUGAUUCGAUGCUGCGGUGACGGGUGUAAACAAACCGAUUAAGAGGUGAACUUGACCCGAUACGAGAAUGAUGAACCGGCUCUAAUGUGAAGAAAGUUAUUGACAAGAUUAAGGGGGUGAUUGUUGGGACUAAUCUUGUCAUAAUUCAAAAAUUGGAGGGUGCUAAGUGUUUUAGUUUAUUUUAUUUAGGUUUUCUAAUUCUAGUCUUGGGAUGUUUUCUUGGGCAUCAAGGUUUAUUAGAUAGGUUUAUCUAGUUUGUUUAUUUAUUUUAUUAACAGAGUUUGAGUCGGGUUAGGACUAGAAUAAGUUUAGCAUAAAUAGACGGUUAGGGUCAUUGUAAUUAGUGUGCUCUCAUUGGUAAAUUAAUAAAAGAGUCGAACAAGUUU